rnacentral:rRNA from 1 species
GUGGGGAAUCUUGCGCAAUGGGCGAAAGCCUGACGCAGCCAUGCCGCGUGAAUGAUGAAGGUCUUAGGAUUGUAAAAUUCUUUCACCGGGGACGAUAAUGACGGUACCCGGAGAAGAAGCCCCGGCUAACUUCGUGCCAGCAGCCGCGGUAAUACGAAGGGGGCUAGCGUUGCUCGGAAUUACUGGGCGUAAAGGGCGCGUAGGCGGAUCGUUAAGUCAGGGGUGAAAUCCCAGAGCUCAACUCUGGAACUGCCCUUGAUACUGGCGAUAUUGAGUGUGAGAGAGGUAUGUGGAACUCCGAGUGUAGAGGUGAAAUUCGUAGAUAUUCGGAAGAACACCAGUGGCGAAGGCGACAUACUGGCUCAUUACUGACGCUGAGGCGCGAAAGCGUGGGGAGCAAACAGGAUUAGAUACCCGAGUAGUCC